rnacentral:lncRNA from 1 species
AAGGGUUUAAGUGAAGAGCAAGAAGAGGAAGAAGAAGAAGAAGCAAUGGAGAAAUCAUCAGAAAGCAAUUUCCCAAAACUGGAGAAACCUUCGGGCAAGAAACAAACAGCGACGGUUGUGGUCGGAGCGUUGGCGGUCGCAUGGUUGGCGAUAGAGAUCGUGUUUAAGCCAUUGUUCAAGAAAUUCAACUCCUCCAAGGACAAAUCCGAUUCCGACGAUGCCACUGCUCCUCCUCCCCCGUCCGACGCCUGAAGCUGAGGCGAACAGCCUCUCGGGGUGACACGUGGAGGUCUUACUCAAGUUUAUAAGCAAAUCUUCUUGUGUUUCUGUUCUUGUUUCUUGUGUAGUAUCUUUCCCUUUUAUUGCUUUGACGAUGCUUUUAAUUAAUCUCGCUUUUCCUUUUUAAUAAAAUCCCGAGAUGGAAUAAUAAAUCAAUGAGCUACGCAUGUAAUUGAUUUCAUUUUCCUAGUAAUUACCUUGGGCUCUCUCGACUAUCGGUAAUUUUUUUUACCAUAAAAUAUAAGUAGAUAAUUUAAGAGUCAUUUUCGCAUUCCUUUUUUUUUUUUUUAAUUUUCUUUUGGUAAUAUCAGUUUGGUGUUGGAUCUCUACUAACACAACGAGCAUGAAAAAUAGUUAAUUACACAGACUAAGAGAAUUAAGGUUUGAGUUGGGUGUUAAUUUUGGCGGUUUCUUGUGGCUACAUUGUUAAAUAUACUACGAUCUAAAAGAUACAGGAUUAGUAGUAAAGAGUUUCGAAAAGUACUUUGUUCAACGUAAGAAAAAAUGAUAAAAUGAGAAGUGAGAAAACUGAAUAAUAAGCAAAAUUGAGUUCAAUUUUCUCUAUUCAAAAGUGUGACAUUGAAACGGCGUCGUCUGAUUGGUAUAAAUUGAAAAAGGAGGCCCUGGCCCAUUAAGAGAAAUCCUUUAUGGCAAAGACAUAAUAAGCUUGCGGAGCACGUGUCGGGUCAACCCGAACUGAAUUCUGGAGCAUCCAUCCACGUCAGUCGGGGCCGGCCAUCGUAGAUGAUCAACCUCAUCUCCGAAACAUUUUCCUCUCUAUCUCUUAUUCAUCUCUCAGUUUCUGGUUUCUCAGAUGCUAGGUGGAUUCGGAGGAAAGUCAUCUGCCGGAGGCCGUAAAAGCCUCAGAGUCGCCGUCGCUGGCGACAAAGGAACCGGCAAAUCCAGCCUGAUCUCGGCCGUCGCCUCUGAAACCUUCCCGGAUAACGUCCCGCGCGUCCUUCCUCCGACUACUCUCCCCGCCGACGCUUACCCUGACCAUAUACCUAUCACCAUCAUCGAUACUCCCUCAAGGUCUUUAUGCUUUUCCCUGUCUGUUAAUUUAUCUUUGCAUUGUUCUUCUCCUUCUAAGCAAAGUAGUCCAAAUUGUCAAUGGUUAAAAAUGUAUGAAUCAUCACCUUGCGUAUCUGAAGUAUUAUAAAUUCAAUUCCCCGUCAUUGGUUUUUCUCAUACUGGCUAAUUUUUAAUUCGAUUUUAUUGUUUGAAUUUGUACGGAUUGAUCCUCAAUCUGCUGAUAUCUGUGAUGUUAUUUGGCAUUAGCAUUGACAAUAGGAUAAAGCUCAUUGAAGAAUUCAGGAAAGCUGAUGUGGUGAUUCUGACAUAUGCUUGUGAUCAGCCUGCAACGCUUGAUCGCUUGAGUUCUUAUUGGCUCCCUGAGCUCCGGCGGCUAGAGGUUUGUUAUUUAUUGGUGAAAAUUUUUUCAUUUAUGGUUUCUCCACCAUGGAAAGUAUCAAUUUAUAGUUAUAUGUACAUAUGUAGAUCAAAGCACCAGUGAUAGUGGUGGGCUGCAAGCUUGAUUUACGAGAUGAACGCUCUCCCGCGAACCUAGAAGAUAUAAUGGCACCAAUCAUGAAGGAGUACAGAGAGAUAGAAACCUGUAUAGAGUGUUCUGCAUUGACUCUUAUUCAGGUAUGUAAUGCUUUUUAGUAGACCUUUCUCUCUGGGGGAAAAUAUUUCCCAAUACAGUUUUUAGCAUCUUAUCUUUUGGAGAAGAGUGAAAAUACCACAAAAUGUGCAAGGCACCUCAAAACUGAUAAUAUUGAAAGACCAAGCAAAAUCGUGCCCACGAUUGAGUUCUUUAUCUGAUUACAAACAGGUUCAGACAGAUCGUGAUUUAUUUUUUAUUUUUUUCAGGCCCCUGAUGUUUUCUAUUAUGCAUCAAAAGCGGUCCUUCAUCCAACAUUUCCGUUGUUUGAUCAAGAAAAACAAUGUUUGAAACCUCGCCUCCGCAGGGCAGUACAAAGAAUAUUCAACCUUUGUGAUCAUGAUUUGGAUGGUGCCCUUAAUGACGCGGAGUUGAAUGAUUUCCAGGUUCUCUUUCUCUGUUGGCCACCGAUUAUUGCAUUCGUGAAACUUCCUCAUCCUUCUAUAAAUAUGACGCUGCAAAUUUUGUUAACAGGUAAAUUGUUUUGGUGCCCCACUUGACCCUGUUGAACUUAUGGGAGUGAAGAGAGUGGUACAAGAAAGGCAACCAGAUGGAGUCUCUGAUCUUGGUCUUACACUUCCGGGCUUCCUUUUUCUUUUUUCUCUUUUCAUUGAGAGAGGUCGCCCUGAGACAGCCUGGGCUAUCCUACGGAAAUGUGGUUACAAUGAUUCUUUAGAACUCAGCACAGAGUUACUACCCGUUCCAGCAAAGAAUUCUCCUGAUCAGGUGUGUGUUGCUUUAAAUAGUACUCAACUACCAGAAUAUCUCUAACUCUUUUUUUUUUCACUUAAAAGAUACGAGGCUUGCCUACCUUUAAAUAAUGUUUGCACUCUAUUCACUUGCAGAGCAUCGAGCUAACAAACGAAGCUAUGGAAUUUCUGAGUGGAAUUUUCCAGUUAUAUGACCUUGAUAAUGUGUGUAUGCUCGUUUCUCUAAUUAUCCAGCCUUGUUUCUGUUGUUCUUUAUCACCUCGAAGUAUAUUUAAUCCUCAAGGAGCAGUGGUAGUUCUUUAAUGCUUCUUCGUUUUGCUGCCAUUUAGGAUGGAGCCUUACGGCCAGCUGAGCUAGAUGAUUUGUUUCAAACAGCUCCAGAUAGGUAAUUUUAUGUUGCUUGUUUUUUGUGUGAUUCGUAGCUAAUUACUACCUCUGUAGUUUAUGGUUAUCAACUGUUCUUCCAGUGUUUAGUGAUUUAAUUUUCUCUCUUUUAAAUUUUCAUGCCAGUGUCUUUAUUGCUCUUUUACAAGAAUUUGUAAAUUGUUUCUUUAGCAAAUUUUUUUACCUGUACAAUCUGCUUUUAAGAUUUCAGUCCUUGGGUUGAGGGUCCUUACAAAGAUGCUGCAGAGAAAACGCCAGGCGGAAAUUUGACAGUCAAUGGGUUUCUGUCUGAGGUUUGUAUGUUUGCUUUUUUUUUUUUGACGACGCUGAUUUAGAAUCAAGCUUUCAUUGAUCAACAUAUGCUCUGUUAUAUGCGCUAAUGCAGUGGGCUCUAAUGACUCUACUAGAUCCUAGAAAAACAUUGGCAAACCUGAUAUAUAUCGGUUAUGGUCACGAGCCAUCUUCAACAUUUUCUGUUACUAGGAAAAGAUCAGUGGAUCGUAAGAAGCAGCGAACAGAAAGGAAUGUAUUUCAGUGCUUUGUAUUUGGCCCUAAAAAAUCUGGAAAGUCUGCACUCCUCGAUUCUUUCUUAGGAAGGUAAACUAGUUUGAACAUUGAUAAGUACCCGCCUUAUGCUGUGUGCUUUGGUUGUUUCUAUGGGUUUACUGAUGUUGAAUUCUCUAAGCUGUGUUUAACUCCAGGAAAUUUUCGGACAGCUAUAAGGCAACAAUGGGUGAACGAUAUGCAGCAAAUGUCAUUGAUCAGCCUGGGGUAAGUAGCAAUAGUCUGAACGCUUAUGUUAUUUGAUCACAUGUGGAUGUUAAUGAGGGUUUUUGUUUUUUUUUUUGGUUUGUUUCGUGGAAUUGUUGGAUGAUGCAUUUUUCAGGGUUGUAAGAAAACCCUCGUAUUGCGGGAGAUACCAGCAGACAGAGUUAAAAAGUUUCUGGCGAAUAAGGAAACGUUGGCAGCAUGUGAUGUUGCUGUGGUCGUCUAUGACAGGUUAGCUCAGAGUCUCAGAAACACUUUCUGUUAUGUGUGGAUGAAGUCCUUAGAAAAAAAAAUGCGAUAAAUUUUGCAGUUCGGAUGUAUACUCAUGGAAAAAAGCGAGGGAAAUAUUGAUGGAGGUAGCAAGGAAGGGUGAAGAGAGCGGUUAUGGGACCCCAUGUCUCCUUGUUGCAGCGAAAGAUGAUUUGGAUGCAUAUCCAAUGUCGGUGCAAGAGUCUGAUAGGGUAACAUGCAGCAGCAGCCUAAUAUGAGAAAAAAAUUGGUGUGGGAUUUUGAUUGGUGGUCCCUAACUAAACUCGGAUGUGAACAGGUUUGCAUGGAAUUGGGAAUAGACGUGCCAGUGUCGAUAAGCAUGAAACUUGGGGAGACAAAUAGUCUCUUCUCAAGAAUCGUGAGUACAGCAGAGAACCCUCACAUGAGCGUUCCAGAGACAGAGUCGGGAAGAAGAAGCAAGAAUAUCCGUCAACUCGUGAAUAGCUCACUUGUGUUUGUCUCAGGUUCUUCUUUUUCUUCUUCACCAAAAAAAAGCUAUCAUUUCCACCAUUUGAACCGGUUUGGGUUUAGCUUACUGUAAUUACUAUCGCAGUGGGUACAGCAAUUGGGUUUGCCGGUUUGGCAGCGUACCGUGCUUAUUCCGCAAGGAAGAAUGCUUGAAGAUUUAUUUGCCUCCAAACACAUAUUAUUGUUAUUAUAUCUCUGCUUUGCUUCUUUUUUUUGUGUGUAUAUAAUAAAACAUCGGACAAGAUGGCUUCUCCGUUUCCUUGACCCCAUUAAUUUUGAAGUUAUUUCAGAUACCAAACAGUAUUCUUCUACUCUGAAGCAUUGGCAUUCUUUCUUUUGUGGUUUUUUUUUGGGUUGGAUUUAGGAUGUUUUUUCGCUCAUCUUCGAGUAACCAAUCUGGACCUUUCGAUACUUUUUCUUUACUACAAGCAUAAAUGGGUUUGAGAAAAGCCCAUAUGUAAGAUCAUUAGGCCCAAUCUAAAAGAAUAAAUACGUAAAUGAGGAAAUGAAAAAUGGACCCCCUACAUGUUAUCUUGUAGAAUCAUAAGCCUUACAUAUUCUUCUGGUUCUCCUGAGUUUCAAACCAGAUUAGAUUAUAACAAGUCAGACCAGACAUCCUACAAACAAAUUAAAGAGGAGAAAAAUGGCGGCUUUAUCAUCAUCAUCUUCUUCGUCUCUGUUUUUCUCCUCCAAAACAACUUCUCCGAUCAACAGUAGUCUCCUGUUCCCACCAUCUCUCCGCCGCAUCUCUCUUCCCUCUUCGUCUUCCUCCUUUUCAUCUCUCUCUUCUUCUGCUUCUCUCUUCACAUACUCUCUCAGGAGUUCCCGAAGAUCAUCUCCUCAGCGAUUUACCGUUAAGGCACACAAGAAGAAUGUACUUAUUGUCAACACCAACAGCGGCGGUCACGCCGUCAUCGGCUUUUACUUCGCCAAAGAGCUUCUCUCCGCCGGCCACGCCGUCACCAUCUUCACCGUCGGUGAUGAAUCUUCCGACAAGAUGAACAAACCUCCCUUCAGCCGAUUCUCCGUAAGAUGAACGAACAAAUCUCCCUACCUUGCUGAAUAAUCUUCCCUUAAUAAUCAAUCUGUCUUACAGGAAAUCGUCAGCGGCGGAGGGAAGACGGUGUGGGGAAACCCGGCCGAUGUUGCGAAUGUGGUCGGAAGUGAAACAUUCGACGUUGUCCUUGACAACAAUGGCAAGGAUUUGGAUACUGUCAGGUCUGCUUUAUCAUAUCAACGAACUAGUAUAAACUUUUCCAGAAUUUCCAAUUUUUGAUGAUCACACAUAUAUAUGUUAUAUAUUCUACAUUUUUGGAUUUUGUGGGAACAGGCCAGUGGUGGAUUGGGCUAAAAGUUCCGGCGCUAAGCAGUUCUUGUUCAUAAGCAGCGCCGGGAUCUACAAGUCCACCGAAGAACCUCCUCACGUUGAAGGGGUAAAUAUAAAGUUAUAAACACACACACGGGAAAGAAAAGAAAAGAAAAAAAGCUUUUAACACUCUCUCACUUGUCACCAUUCACUGCUCCAAUGGUGCAGGACGCAGUGAAAGCCGACGCAGGUCACGUGGGAGUAGAGAAGUACUUAGCAGAAACAUUCGGGAAUUGGGCCUCGUUUCGACCACAGUACAUGAUCGGCUCUGGCAACAACAAAGACUGCGAGGAAUGGUUCUUCGACCGUAAGUUCUUCUCAAACCAACCCAAUUUCAACACAGGACUGAACUAAACAAGUAACCGUCAAAAUUUUGUUUUGGCAGGGAUUGUGAGGGACAGAGCAGUGCCAAUCCCAGGAUCAGGACUGCAGCUAACCAACAUAUCUCACGUGAGGGACUUGUCUUCGAUGCUCACUUCAGCCGUGCACAACCCUGAGGCCGCUUGCUGCAACAUCUUCAACUGCGUUAGUGACAGAGCCGUCACUCUUGACGGUAUGGCCAAGCUCUGUGCCGCCGCUGCUGGCAAAACGGUUGAGAUCGUUCAUUACGACCCUAAAGCCGUUGGGGUUGACGCCAAGAAGGCUUUUCCAUUCCGAAACAUGGUAAACUAAAAAGCUCUUUUCCUCCUUGAUUCAUUACUUUUAUAACCUUGCCAUUGUAUGAUCACAGCAUUUCUACGCGGAGCCUAGAGCAGCAAAGGAGAUAUUAGGGUGGGAAAGUAGAACGAAUCUACCUGAAGAUCUCAAGGAGAGAUUCGAAGAGUAUGUGAAGAUUGGCAGAGACAAGAAGGAGAUGAAGUUUGAGUUAGAUGAUAAGAUACUCCAAGCCCUCAAAACUCCAGUGGCCGCUUGAUCAACUAAGGCCAUAAAAUUUCAUCCCUUUGUAACUUAUAAUGCUACCCUGUGCUCCGUUUUUUUAUUUUCUCCCGGCUCAUAUGAAAUGAAUAUGAUUCAGCUAAAAGAUCAUUUAAAAUCCAUGACCAAAAGAGCAAUACCAAUUCUAGGUUAUGUGAAGAUAACAGUUUGUUUCAAGGAAAUAGAUUUCAAGACUGUCUUGGAUCCUUACAUCCUACUAAAAUACGUUUUACCAAAUAGAGAGAGAUAACACUGAAACUACCUACAUAGCAACAAGAGCAUCACGUCAUCUUACCACUUCCUAUUCCUCCUCUUGCUUGAUUUUCAGACCUCCGAGCUUUGAUUCCAGUUCAUCGUCUUCUUCGCCUUCUUCAUCUUCGUCUUCAUCUUCAAAAUCUUCUCCUUCAGGGUCAUUAUCGUCCAAAGGACCAAGCUUGUCCAGGGAGUCCUUAAACAUGUCAUUUACCUCGUCGAUACCUUCCUCAGAUAUGAAGUUUCCGUUGAUGUUGAGAAGCUUGAAAGUAUUUUUCUUCACAACAGUUUGUGCCAAGGCUCUUGCCCCAGCUCUUCUGAUCAUAUUGGUGUUCAGGUCAACUUCAGCCAACUGGUGGUGACCUUCAACUGCCUUUGCGAUUAAGAUAGACCCUUCAUCUUUGAGUUCAUUCUCAGAUAAAUUCAGCUUCGAAAGAGACUGUUUUGAGGCGAUGCAAGCUGCCAAUUUCCCAGUGGAUUUUACAGUAAUAUCGUUCCCAGCCAAUUCUAGAACUUCAAGACAAGGGGCAGACUUAACUAGAGCUUCAGAAAGUGCCUCUGUUCCUUCAUCCUCCAAGUUCAGGUAACUCAUGUAGAUCUCAGUUAAAUCAUUCAACACUGAUACAGUCUUGGCCAGGGCAAUUCCACCUUCGACUCCAAACAUGUUGUCACGAAGAUCAAGUUUCUUUAAGUGGCUACAGAGUUCAAGUGCUUCAGCUAGCGCGACACCGCCUUCUGAACCAAUCCUCGUAGAUGAACACCGGAAAUCUUCCAAAGAUGGACACUGCCUCACUAUCUCGGCAAUGGCAAUUGCUCCUUCGUCUCCUGUCAUGUUGUUAUGAAACUGAAGAACCCUCAUUUUGCCAGUAGAAGGGAGAAACUCACGAACUGCUCGUGCAGCAUCCUCGGAAAUGCCAUCAUUCAUAAGAUAUAGCUCCUCUAAGUCAUGCUGAGACUUGAUGAGAGAGCCAAAUGCUCUAAUUCCUUUUUCUCCCAAAGCAUUGUCGGAAAGAUUCAAAUAGCUUAGCUUACAGCCCUCCAAAGCAGAUGAAAACAUAUUCAUGACUUCAAGUGCUUCUGGCUCUGGUCUUCCCGCAACAAAAUCCGAGAGAUCCACUUCCGUCAGCUGAUCCUUGAUGGAAGACAAAACGCUGACAGCAAAUUUGGCUGCUUCCGAGCCAAAGCUCCUGUUGCCAAAACGGAUUUUGGUGUAGGAGUUACGCGGCUGAGUCAAAGGCCUCAAGAGCUCACGUGCCUCCUCCUCAUCAAUAAAUGCUCUACGGCCACCAGAUAUAUCAAACAAGAUAUCCCCAGUCUUGUUCAACUCGACCUCGGACUCUUUUUGAGGACCUCGUUUGAUCACUUCAAGCAAGAGCUUACUCGAUUCUUUGGCAUAGACCUGAACAGCAGAAGUUCCAUCACCAUCAGGCUCGUUCUGGAAGUGUUUGUUUGCAGUGGCAAAUGCCAACUCUUCAAUUCGCUUGGCGUCUUCCUCAGCCUCUUCCACGCUCAAAAGGCCGUACUUUCUGGAGAAGAUGGAUGGGGUCGUUAUGUUCUUGAUCAUCCGCUCUACAAGCAUCAGCCGGGUACUCUUACUCGGUGGCCACAUCUUCACCGAUACAACACGGUUCUGUGUGGUUUGACCUGAAUGAUCCAUGCCACUUGGUCCUGUAAUUCAAGACAAGGAAAUCAGUACACGAUAAUAUUCAAUAUUCAGGCAAUGACCUAUUUGCAGGCCAAGAAAACAAAAAACCAUGGCGCCAAUCUAUCUAGAGCUUCGUGUGUUAGUGAGAUCUAAUCGAAAAAGAAAAAGGCGUUGAAGGUAUAAGAGAAUCUAAAUAAAUUUCUAUUGUAGACACGAAAGAGCCUCAUUUAAUUUCAGAACAAAAAUUGCAUUUUCAUACGGAAAUUUGCAUUUUCAUAUGCGAAAAAUGUUCUUAAAAAGCCUUAGUAGAAAAAUCGAGAGUGCAAAGGAGAAGUAGAGAUUUCAAACGAAAAAGAAAACUAGUGGGUUCAAAUAUUUGCAAAACCAGCACAUUGGAGAGGAGAGAUGCGAUAAGGAUAAUCAGAAGAAGAAAAAGGAAGGCGAUAGAAACCCAGAAAUGUAAGAGAAGGAUGAAGUUAAGGGUAAUGCAUUCACCUUUUUUUUCUCAGCGUAUCGAAAUGGAUCUCUGGUUGCCGAUAAACGGAGAAUCGAAGAAAAUAGAAGAGGUGUUUCGUCAGAGAAGCGUAAAUAAGAAGCAGUGUGAGAGAAUCAUUGAUCCGCGUGAUGAUAAUGGAGGCAAUGAUGCGUUUUUAAAAAAUCAAAAUUUCAAAAAGCAAUUCUUCACACAUCUUUAAAAAUUGGCCUUUUGAGAGCCAAUCCAUGAAAAUUAGGGUUUAUUCUAAACGUGGAAAUGACAAUAAAACCCCUACACAACCCUAACCAGUGUCAAAGAUAACCACCCAUAUCGACGCCGAAAGCCCAGUAAUAGCCUGUAUUGAUUGAAAAAAUCUUUAUACUAUAAAGCCCAAACGUCUUUGAUAAAGCCCAUUAUUUGCAGGCGAUGCAAUAAUUUGAGAGAGGAGAGAAUAGGACAGAUGAGGAAGGUGGAGGAGACGGUGGGCCACCACCGCCAGGUGAACUCGCCGACGGUGAACUGUCGACAGACGCCUCUCUUCCACGCCUUCUGUCUUUCACACUCCAUUUAUGUUAGUUUAUGCAUUUAUUUUAUUAUAUUUUCUUUAAAAAAAAUACAUCCUGUUAAAUAAUAAUAAACGUAAAAAUGGAAACUUCCCUUUUGUUCUUCUUCCCCACAACCACAAUUAAUAAUGGCUGGCUUCUACUAGCUUCAGAGCAAAGAAUGGUGAAGCGCCGGAGAUAGAGAUCUGUAUUCUUCCAUGUCCGGAGCUUCUUCAUUCUCUGCGAAGUUCCCUCAAAAGAUCUUGUAAGCUCCCCUCCCUCAUCUGAUUAAGUAGAUUGUUGGUAGGUAGGACGAGUAGAGAGGAAUUAGGUUUUUAGAUUUAGUUCACCAACUUGAAUCAAUUGACUACCCAUCGUAACCCUAAUCCGAUCGAGGGAGGCGCAUAUAAUGUGAAGUUCUUGAACCAAUUUUUGUGCCACUUCUGUAAUUGCAGAUUCGCUCGAGAAAUGGACAGCACUCUCGCAACGGAUCCAGGUUUGAUAGAUUCGGCGGGAGUGUACCUCAGGUUAGGGCUAAUCAUAGAGGGGAAGCGAUUGAGAAAGAAGCCACCGCCUGUGCUGUCACGUCUGGCUUCAUCUCUAGAGAGAUGUGUGUUGAUGAAUGAUGAGAAAUUGCCGGAGAUGAAAGAGCCUGAGACCGUGUUUGACGGGAGAUGUACGCCUGAGAUCAGCAUAGGACACUACUUGGAUCGCAUCUUCAACUACUCUGGAUGCAGCCCCUCCUGCUUUGUCAUUGCACAUAUCUACAUUCAUCUCUUUCUCCAGAGGACUCGAGCUCUUCUCAACCCGCUUAACGUCCACCGCCUUCUCAUAACAACCGUCAUGUUAGCCGCCAAAGUCUUCGACGACAGGUUUCUCAUCUUUGACUCUUUUUCCAAUUUCACUAUGGACACGAGAGCGAGCCAUGAGUUUUCUAGUUUUCCAUGCCAUUGCUUGUUUCCCAUCCGGAUCCGGUGACAAUUAGGAAACAGAGUCGAACACACUAGCUGUUUUUUGGAGAUGAGGGUCUUUUUGCUUUAAGAUGUUUCUGUAAUUGAAAGGGUAUAUUGAUUGGUCUCUGGUGUUGUGCAGGUAUUACAACAAUGCAUACUACGCGAGAGUGGGAGGUGUGAGCACGAGAGAGUUGAACAGAUUGGAGAUGAAGUUGUUGUUCACCCUUGACUUCAAGCUUCAAGUAGAUCCUCCGACGUUUCACACACAUUGUUGUCAGUUAGAGAAACAGAACAGCGAGGGAUUCAAGAUCGAGUGGCCGAUAGGAGAAGUAUGUCGAGCCAGGAAAAGAGACUUGGCGAAACAGCACACCAGAGCCAGUCUGCUCUCAAACGACUGCGCGCUGAUCUGGAACUCAUGAUGGAAACUUGUGUGUUUGGUAGUGAUGAUUCUUUUGCAAGACUGAUUAGUUGUGACAAUUCACAUUUGUGUAGUAGAAAGGUUCUAGAUUUCUUACGAACUCAAUUAGUGUUUUCAGAGGUUGUUAUAUAUAUAGUUUCCAUCGAGACUUAAAACUAGACAGAUUUUCACAUUAAUUAGCAACCGGAGGUUCUGUCGGUUUUGAGCAUAUGGUUGAUCUCAGGCGUUGGCUCGGCAGCAGCAGCAGGAGCUGUAUGUACAUUACCACAACCACCUCAAUAUCCAACAACGUUGCUGAUUAGAUUACAAGCGACUAGACUAGUUGAUGUAUAUACGAAAUUCAGAUACGUAUAUGCAUAAUCAGUUACCUUCAAGUUUAGCACGCCACGUUUCACCUUCCUCACACAUUCGGAUUUGGUACAGUAGUUCGGUUUGCACUUACAGAACACGAGUCUGUUGUAUACGAUCGAUAUGUGAAAAAACAACUAAUGGUCACCGUAUUAAGUACAGUACUACAUAAACAUGAAUCCAAUGGACUUGGGGAUGAGUUGUGGGGGGAGGAUGACCUUCCAUUGUUACAACUGAAAGAAGAACGAACAAAACUAAAUGUGGUGACAAGUUGGAACCGUGUUAUUUUAAUUUUAUGCACGUAUAUACGUGUCGUGUGCUUAAAUCUUAAAUGCGCGCCUUUGUCCAAGAUUUUCCUAAUUCAUCAAUUAUCAUGCGAAAUUAUAAUUUUUGGAAUUCUAUUUCAGUAUUUCAUAUGUUUAUUAUAUUUAUAUAUCAUGCAGCAGGUUUGACUUCUACUUCGAAUGAAACAAAUUUACUUAUGAGAAAGCUAUUUCUUUUAUGAUGUAGUAUUGUGUUAAAAUCAAAAUAUAUAAGUAGAAAAAAAAGAAUCAUAUUGAUUAUUAUUAAGGUUUUAGUUUUUCUCCAAAAAAAAGAAUCAUAUUUGCAUGUUUAUAUGAUUUUCUCCACAAAAAAAAAAAAGUAAUGUUUUGAAAAGACGUUCGAAGUAGACAUUUGUUUUUUUAGGUAAGUUAAAUGAUAAGAAUUAGAUUAAGCUGUUAAAGUCUAUCCCAAAUUUGGAUAGCUACACCAGUUUCACAUAUAAGAUAUAACGAUAUACGGAACGGAUCCUAUUUUUGUCGUUGGCAUUUUUUUUACUUGCAACACAGUUCCCACAUUUGGAGCAAUAAUAUUAAAACAGCAAAUCGAAAUCGAAGGCUAUCUCAUAACGAAAGAGCAAAUGAUUGCUGAAAGAGAGAGGGAGAGAGAGAGGGAGAGAGAUAUGAGAUUUUACGUUAAUGCGCAAGGUAGGUGAGCGUGACUGCCUUAUUAGAGCAUGUACAUCAGAGAAUGAAGAGGUUCAUAGCACAGUUUUUGAAACAAAAAAUCUUAAUAUUAAAGAGACAGUAUCAUCCCGACGAACUUGAAGAGACGGUAUCAUCUCAAAAUGAAGCAUCCUGAUUGGUCGAAUUAAAAAAAAAAAUUAAAACCAAAAAAAAAAUGUUAUUAUAUUUUGGUGAACUCCUCUCUAUCAUGAUUUACUUUUUUACAUGCUCUUAGUCGUAUUAUUUACUUUUUAUCAUGAUUAGAUCAAUAUUUAAUUAUUUAUUAUUAUAUAAACGUGGGUGAUAGGUUAACAUCAAUCAAUCAUUAAGCUUCUUAUCCCAGUUUAUUUUCUUUGUAUGUAUCGUAUCAUCAACACUAUAUAAAAUUAAAGAACUGCAAAAGUUGGUGGCCACGUAUGACGGGUUCAGGCGAACGCGCUAGCACGCAGAUAGCCAUAUACUGUUUGAUGGUAAGUAACCAACUUAUAUAUGUUAUUAUCACUUAUUUUUAUUUAACACCGUUACCAGUUUUUUCUUUAUUAUCAUAUAAUUAAGUGGUACCAUUGAAAUAGAUUUUAGAGUAAUGCAUUCGUUCUUCAUGUGGAGCUGUGUGAUUGAAAAUAAGUGAUCAAUUUCCUAAAUUUAUAAACUGUACAAAUAACCCAUAAAAUUAAAAGAAAGCUGGGAUUAAAAAAGAGACGCAUAAGCUGGUUUAAUCCUCCAAUUUUGAUUAAAUGACGACGACAGAUCAUAAUUUUUUUUUCCUUAAAAGGAUAACUGAAGUUGGUCAACCACAAACUAGUAAAUGUACUCAUAAAGUAUAGUGGUAUUCAGUUUAUGGUUAGUGUGGUAGCAAAAAUGUAAACCUACUAUAGUAAAGUUUUUAGUUAAAAAUUCCAGAUGUGUUUUAUUAAUUGGAUUUACUAAAUCUUAAUAUAAGUUUUACUCUGUAUUUUGUUUUAGUUUAUAGAUUAGGAAUGGGGGAAUCACCGAAUCAGAUACGUACAUGGACGUGUAGGAGCAUGCACACAUUACUAAGUUCGCACACAAGCAAAAUUACAUUCCAGUAGGCAAUAGCUACGAGUUGUCGCUGUAAGAAUAAUCUUUUUAAAGGCCCUUUCUCAGACCAUUAUAUUUCUUAUCUUAUAUAUGUGAAUAAUUAUAAUGUAAACAAAAAAAAAGGUAUUUCCCUGUCUUAAGAUUUUACGUAAGUGGAAGAGUAAUAAAGAGACGUUGCCGAGGUCUUGGCCAUUGCAGGUCGACAAACAAUUUUGCCUCUCCGUUUCAUUAAUGGACGGUCCACCAGAAUCUUUAUAUUAUUCACCACGAAAUAAAGACUCCUAUUUGUUAAAAAAAAAAAAAACUCCUAUGAUAAUAUCAAAAUAUAAAACAUAGAAUCACAUCUGCAUGACUUUUUUUAAUGAAUUUAUUUUAUAAAAUCAGAAGCAUAAAGAAUCUCAUCUCGAUAUACAUAUUUUCUGUGCCGAUCGAUCAUUAAUUAGGAAGCAUAAUAAACCUACUUUAUGUAAGUGUUUUUAGUUUAAGUUGAGGUUUAGUAAUAUUAUAAACCCAUCCAAGUUAGUUUCUUUCAUUGCGACUGUCUCUAAUAUCAAUGCAAAAUUACCGUUGAUAAAAAAAGAUCCAAUCUUAUACAACCCAGAUUUUUAUAUAAAAAGAGACAAUAUAUAGCCUAUACCCAACUCAAAUAAUAUUAGAUAUAGUUUGAGUUAAAAACAAAAUUCUAUUUAAAAAAAUCUAAAUUCGGAAGUGCUUUCUGAUCAUAAUUUCCCAAGAAAAUCGUAUCUCAAAUUCACAUCAAACGUAAUAGAAGUUUACAUUUGAUUGAGACAUUAUCAAUAUAUAUCAUCUGCACUGCACGCGUAGGCUAAAAGAUAUAUAGAGGAGAAUAAAGUAAAGAGAGAAAAAAAAAGAAUAGGUUUUGACCAAUAAAAAAGCGAGCCCAACUUGUCCUAUAUCACUCUUGUCCUGUUGAUUUUCCCUAGUGUGUGACCCUAUAUAUAUAAAUCAUAUCCUUCAUGCAAAGUCACCUGAACAUUUCAUAAGUCGAUUCGAUACAAGCGUCGACCAAACAUAUAUAUAACAAAAAACAUCUGAAGUCUCAAGCUUAUAUUGCAAAGUUUUAUUACAUAUAUAUAUUAGAGUUCUAUAUAUUAUCAUCAUGAUCAUGAAGAUAUCAAUGGCCAUGUGCAAACAGCCAUUACCUCCUUCGCCGGCGUUAGACUUCCCCCCGGCGAGAUUUGGUCCCAAUAUGCUAAAUCUUAACCCAUACGGUCCAAAGGAUAAAGUAGUGGUCAUCAUGGGUGCUACCGGAACAGGCAAAUCACGACUCUCUGUCGAUUUAGCCACACGUUUUCCGGCGGAGAUCAUAAACUCCGACAAGAUCCAAGUCCAUCAAGGUCUCGACAUUGUCACUAACAAGAUCACGGCCGAUGAGAGCUGCGGAGUACCGCACCAUCUCCUCGGCGUCUUGCCUCCUGAAGCCGACUUAACCGCCUCGAAUUUCCGCCACAUGGCGAAUCUCUCAGUUGAAUCUGUCAUUAACCGUGGAAAGCUUCCGAUAAUCGUUGGAGGUUCCAACUCUUACGUUGAGGCUCUAGUCGACGACGAAGACUACACAUUCAGGUCGAGAUACGACUGUUGUUUUCUGUGGGUCGACGUAAAACUUGACGUUUUGCGUGGAUUUGUGUCUGAGAGAGUCGACAAGAUGGUGGAGAAGGGAAUGGUUGAGGAAGUUCGAGAAAUUUUUGACUUUUCGGAUUCCGAUUACUCGAGAGGGAUCAAGAAAGCAAUCGGAGUUCCAGAGUUUGACAGGUUUUUCAGAAACGAGCCAUUCUUGAAUGUGGGAGACAAAGAAGAGCUGUUGAGUAAAGUGGUUGAAGAAAUAAAGAGAAACACUUUCGGUUUAGCUUGUAGACAAAGAGAUAAGAUUGAUCGGCUAAUAAAGAUCAAGAAGUGGUGCAUUCAGAGAUUGGAUGCGACUCCGGUUUUCACACGACGGAGGUCGACGGUGGAUGCUGACGUGGCAUGGGAGAAGCUGGUGGCUGGACCAAGCACCGAUGCUGUGUCACGGUUCCUGCUUGACAUUGCCAGCCGUCGACCGCUGGUGGAAGCAUCAAGCGCGGCCGUAGCGGUUGCGGCGGCCAGGGAACGCGAGAUGUCGCGGUGUCUAGUGGCGUAAUCAGCUGUGACAGAAAGAUAAGGCUGGAUUCGGCAAAUGUGGUUAAUUUACACCAUGCGUUUUUUUGUGACUAUGACGUGGCAGUGUGCAGUAAUUCGCAAAGACUACGAUGAGUGGGGAAAAUAUACCAGAAAAUAAAGCUAAUAUCAUCUAUAUAUAUUAUAUAUGCAUCGUAUAUAGUAUUGUCAGAUACUGAAAUUUUGGCAUAACGGUUAUUCAGUAUUAUCAUCCACUUUUUGGAUGCAAGUGAAGACUCUAAGUGGAAUGCUAUAUCUGGAAGUGGGACUUCCUCGCUUGUAACUAUUUAAUUUUAUAAUACGAUGACUAAGUUUGAGUGGGCCUCUUAAAGUUGGUAUACAUGACUACAGGCACAACUUUGUUUAUAAUUGAGUUUAAAACUUUGUUUAUAAUUGAGUUAAAUAUUUUGUGAUUCAUCAAACAUAAAUGGAAACAAAAUAGAGGAAAAGCAAAAUAAGAUUAUCCAUAAAACCACAGAGAAAAACGUAACAGUUAUUUAUUUAUUUGUUGGUUUCUAGCUAAAUUUUAUCACAUGUUUCUAUAAUUUUCUAUUUUAUUUAAAUUAUGUUUAUUUUUAUUAAUUAACCAUCUAUUUUUUUCUUAAAAUAUUGAUCACUAAUUGAUUAUCAUAUUCUCAUUUGAAUUCAAUUUAUUCGUUUAUCAUAUCUGACUUUCAUUUUUUUUCUUCUUCAUCGACAUAUCAUCUUUUUAUGAUAAGAAACAUGAAUUAUAAGUAUUCAAUCACUUAGUUCUCAUUUUUCUAUAAUUUUUACAAUGUGAACAAACAUUUAAUAAUUUAUCUUCUUAGAAGUCGAGAGGGUAUGAAUUUUUUUAAUAUAGAAUAGUUAAUUAUAAUAAUUAUUUAAAAGGAUUAAUUAAACAACAUGUUCUUUCUUAUUUUUACUUUCUUUUCCUUUUAAAAUCCCUUUUAGAACUUGUUACUUUCUUUUUUUAAUUGUAUGGUUUUCAUUUAAUCGAUUACUUUAUUUCUUUGUUGACCUAAUUUUAAUUUUGUUUGUGAGCUAAACUAUAUAUAUAAAAAGUUAUAGUGGAACUCUCUUUAGUCUAAUAGUUAAUUAAGAAUUUAUUAAUAUUUUGACACCAAAAAAUCUGGGUAUCAAAACGUAACAGUUCUCAUUAAACUAAUAAAUUAACAUUAAAAAACUAAAACGAUAAAUUAUAAAGCAUGAGCUUUCAGCGUAGAACCUCUUAAUUAAUCAAAAGGAAAUUAUGUACUUACUUGCCAUUAUUUAAAACGAGAUUUUUUAAAAUAUACACAUGAGAAUUAAGAAAAUGAAACUGUUCUAAACCACGAAAAUCAAACGAUAGCUUAAAAAUAUUUCAGCAGCUUUUUUUUUGUUAGUGGAAUUUUUUCGUUAAUGAGUUUUUUGAGUUGGAACAAAAAGAAGGAAAAGACAGAAGCAAAGAGAAGUGUAAUAGAUUCUUAAUUCUUUGUUAGCAAUUUAGCAAAUGACCGUACAGUAAGAAACAAUACCACGCGCCUGACGCCGUACAGAGGAGCCGUUGACAAAUUGUGUUGCAUUAUUCGAUAUUUAAGAAGUGGGUCCCAUAUUUCAAUCUUCUAAGUGUUUUUUAAUGCGUUCUUAAUUGGAACCCAUCCAUUAUAUUAUUCUCUCAGCCCGUGUGCAAUUGGCGUCUCUCCAUGCUUUUGGGUCCCACUACUUAUCAUAAACUAUACUCCCUCCAUUUCAUAAUAAGUGUCAUUCUGACACAUUUCACACAGAUUAAGAAAUUAAUAAAAUAUACAAAUAUACUCUUAAUUAAUAUACUUUUAUAACAUUUAAUUACAAAAACUAUUAUCUUUAAAUAAGAGAUAAAACAUGAAAUAAAAGUAAAAAGUUAUAUUGAAAUGCAGAAUGACACUCUUUUUGAAACAAAAAAUGAAAUCUAAAAUGACAUUUAUUAUGAAACGGAGGGAGUAUAUAAAAUUGGUUUUUUUCAAAAAAAUUAAAUAUAUAAUAAAUAAUAUUUCCGAAUGUCAAAAAAAAUGAUCACUUAUCCUUAAAAAUGUAUAUAUGUUUCCGGACAGGACUGUAUUAUCACUUUGGCAAUGGCCUGGUGCGAUGUUUUUGUAGACUGAAUACUGAAUACUGAAUAAUAUGUUUAUGGUGUUUUGACUUGGAAUUUGGAAUUAUAAGAGAUAAGGAACAAAGUGGAACAAGACAAAGAACAAAUUGCAACCAAAAAAGAAAAAACAAACAAACAAAAUAGAGUAAAAAGAAUCACAUCUCUUGAGCAUAAUAACCCAAGAAUUCAAUUCUACAUAUUGGUCCCAUCAUUGCGACUUUUAUUUUUUAAAACAAAAAGUAAGAUUCCAUGAAUCUUCAUUCUCUUUUGUUUCAAUUUUUAAUAAAUCAUCUAUUUGUUUUUUUUGUUUGUUUGUUACUACUAUAUAAUAUAGUCUUAUUUUUGGUCGAAGAAAUGAAUUCGAUUAAAGUAUGUCAAAGUAGAGUUUUCUGUGUUGUGCUUGUGGAGUUUAAGAUAAAAUUAGGAGACGUCUUUUAAAAUCACACAAAAGAUAUUGUGGUGUAAAUACAAUAGACGGGCCUAAAAUAUGAUAUGUAAUGGGCCUACAACAGUCUCAUCGCCCUAUCAUUUUAGGCCCAUAUGAAAUGGAAGUCCAUUCGCGUAUAAAGCGAGUGAAGCUCACGCGAUUGAUUGAUUGAUAAUCCCAUCUCACACGUAACCAUUGUUUUUGUUUGGUUUGGUUGACUUUUGGACUGGUAUAGUGUGAACGAACGUACAACAAGUAAACUAAAGGGCGUGAAUUAAAGGGAAAAAAAAAAACAUUAUUAUAACUAAGAAACGAAGAUAAACAAAAGGGUGUUCGAAGAAGAAGACAUGAGAUGAGACAAUAUAGUUGAGAAAGGAAAGAGGAUAUUAUAUCAGUGAAUGAGUCUGCCUCCACAGGUGAAAGUGACGAUACAGGACUCAUCCACAAAGACUGUAUAGUUGUGAGCAGGUUUGGCUAGCAAUGGCGGAAGCCGAACGAGAAGGUCGCACACGCACUCGUUGUCCAUUUGCUUCAGCCACUUGCAGCACUCUUGUUGCGCAAACGUCUCUUCUCUGUGCCGGUGAUGAUGGUGGUGGUGGUGGUGGCGGCGUCGGCGGCGUCGGUUGUGUGUGUUGUCGUUGUUAUUGUUGUGGUGGUCAUGGUCAUCGUGAUCAUGGUUGCGAUCAUGGUCAUUGUGAUCAUGGUCAUUGUGAUCAUGAUCAUGGUUGCGGUUGUGGUCAUGGUCAUCAUGAUCGUGGUCAUCGUGGUCAUCGUCGUCAUGGUCGUGGUCGUGGUCAUCAUCAUGGUCGUGGUCAUGGUCAUCAUCGUCGUCAUCGUCGUGGUCAUCGUCGUGGUCAUGGUCAUGGUCAUGGUGGUCAUGGUCAGGAGGAGGAGGAGCGAGGGGAGGAGGAGGUGGGGCAAUGGGGGAAGGAGGUGGGACAGUGUUCAUUGGGAGGCGUGAGCAAGCGUAGUUAGCCAGCGCGUAUUGAGAGGCGCAUAGUGGACGUGGUGGUGGAAUCUGUACGAUUCUUUGGCCUCGCGUGAAAGAGGAAGAAGAGAAUAGAGCCAGAAGCACAAAAGCUACGAGGAAAAGUGUUUCCAUGGGGAGUGUCUGUGUGUGAAGAGAGAUCGUUUGGUGGGUCUCGUUAUAUAUUCAAUGCGAAAGGAGGCACAAAGAGGAUGUGAAGAUUGGUUGCAGAGGAAUUUUAGGUUCAUCUGAGAAUUUCAUUUGAUUUGCGUGACUUUGUUAGGUUGCUUGUAGAGCUUUCUUUUAGGAGAGUGUUUUUCAUUUUGGCGCAACAACAAGACCUGUUCCAAAUUCCACAACCCAAUUUUAAUCACAAAACCAUUAUAGCUAGCUGCAACUCCAAAAGCAUGACAAAAGAAAAAACAUUAUAUAUAACUUGGAUUGAUCAAAUGGGAACACAUAUAGAGUGUUGAACUGAUUGAUCCUAAUCUCCAAGAUGAUUCUUGAUUAAGAUCUGAAAAGAUGAUAGCUUUAAAAAACAAGUCUAGCAACUGCUUUUAGACCAAGAACGGUUUGAAAAACAUGCAUCAUUUGGUCACUCUGCACAUCGUUUUAGCUCCAUGUGAUUGAAACAAGUGCGUUCAGCUGUAAUCAGACUGCGAUUUUAAGACAGAAUUAAUCACAGAGACGGUCCGGCUCCUCAGGUUGCUUGGUUUUGGCUACUAACAAAAUCUCUCUGUCUUUGUGAACUUGUUCCCUCUGCUGUUUCAACUUAUCUUUCCUCUCUUGCCAACCUUCCUCUAAGAGCCUCAGGAAGUUAUCCUUAAUAGCAAGCAAAGGAUCUCUAUCAACAAGCUCAUCCUCUCUAUAAGCUUCCCUCAGUACAGCAGUCUUGAUCCCUCCUUUGAGCGACAAGUAGAAGAUACCUGAAUGGCGAGUGAAAACACUCGAGAAUGCGUUUGAGAAGCGGAAUUCGUCGCAGAACUUGCCGAGUAUAGGCACGGGGAGCCUCUUGAGCAGCGAGAGAGACAGCAAUUCGUGGACAAGACCAACGGUUCUUUUCUCCAUUUCCUUGGAAGCUUGAUCCAGAUGAGACGCAUCCUCGUAUGGCGAUAUGUAGUCUUGCUCUAACCAAUCCCUAGUCCACUCUCUCAUCUCCUUCCUCAGGAAAAACCCAGACGGCAGCUUCACAUCGAAAUUGGGUCGGACACGGACUCCGGUUCGAAGGGUUUCUUCUUCUGCUCUCUGCUCGAUAGCCGAUUUGGCGAAAUCUGGGUUCCAGUCGACGAGCUCGAGAAAGGACUUGCCUUGUUCGGGUAGACCCGUUAACCGGAAAUAGUUUGGGUAUCUCUGAACCAAUUUGACAAGAAAAUCAUUGGGGAAUCCAAAAUCUCUCUUGACAUGAACCAGUUUAUCGGCACUGAUGACCUUGUCUUUGGCCAUCAUCAGCAGUUUGCAGAGCUUGGAAACAAUUAAGGGCUCAUUGUCGGCGUAAAUCCUCUGCUCAUGGUCGAGGAAAGCCCUGAGACGGGGCGUGGGGCGGAUGAAAGGAACGGGCUCGGACUUGGGUUUGAUGCGAUCGUAGUAGAUGUCGAACAGAGAAGGGUUCAUCUCAACGAAGCUCUUUGCUUUGAAAUUGAGGCGUAACCUCUCGCGCCGUUUCUCGAGGUAUCUGAGCGGAAUGACUUGACCUGGCUCGUUCAACACUUCUUUCACCACCCGAGCGCACAGCUUGUAACGCUUGUCCUGCUCGAUCGCUUCGUCCAGCUUCCUGUCCUUCUUCCAUACCACUUUCAAGCUCGAGAUCCUUCUUCUGAUUUCUUGCCCUAAAUUUCUCCCUUUCUCCAGAGAUUUUGCGAUUUCGUAGCAAAUGGUAUGGUUUCUGAGCACCAUUCCUGAUUUAAAAUUAGGGUUUUUCUACCGGAGCGUGAGAGGUAAAUUGCCUACAAACAAACAAACCCUGGAACACCGGUAAGACUAUAUCCCCCACGCCGCCCGAUGAUGCGCCACAUUCAUGGGCCGUGUGUUUACUACACCAAGUCACUAAACCCAAAAUCCAACACUACUCACUUGUUACUGUAUAAUAUAUACACAUAUAUGAAGGUCUUCAACUUAUUUUACAUAGCCAAAUGCUUUUGGUCUUAUCUUCUUUUACCAUCUCUCUUUACAUAUCGGCAAAGUAUAUUUCGAUUUUCAGUGAUCACCAUUGAAUUUACAUUAUAGUUGGCUUUCCGUAUGAAAUCACCGUCUAUUAAAAAAAAAAAAAGUCUUGAUUAUAAUUCCUUGUAUUGGAACUAAACUAAUACAUAACCAAGAAGGAAUCAUGAAUCGAAGAAGAAUUUGUUGAAGAAGAUUGAUGAUUAUGCAUCAUUGGAGGAGAGUAGAAAGACAGCACAUUUCCAGAUGAUGUAAAGACGAGCUCUCUGCUCCUUUAUCUGCUUCCAACAUCUUUUCCAUGUCCUAACCUUUGUACUACUACUGCAUAUUCUCAACACGACUGUCGCUGCCAUUGUUCCUAUAUAUCGAGAAAGCUUUAAAGGCUAUAUAACGAAACUAGCUAAACUAAUGUUUUUGAUAGGUGGUUUUAGCUAGCCGCUGGAGAUAUUAGAUUUGCUUAUAUAGUAUCUAUGCUGCUGACUCGAACUUGGUUGAAAUAAUUUGGCAGAUAUAUGGGAUAAAAAGAUACAUUAUUGAAUUGAAUAGUAUGGACCUACAUGUUUCUCAGUGUGAAUAGAAAAUACAUGGUGCUUUAGCCAUUAGCUUCGCUUUUGAGCUAAAAUCUUUUGAUUAGUAUCUAUCAUUGAUUAAAUGUAAUUGGUAUUGUCUUCCUUUUUUUUCUUUUUUUGGGAAAAGGCACAUCGGUUUUAUAAUUUGUUUUUGCUGUGAGGAUAUUGUUUGAACAGAAAUCUUCUGUUCAUGCACACAUGAGAGUUAAUUUUCGCUUGUGGGGCUUUAUGUCUUUGCUGUGUUGGGUGGGAAUGCGAUGAUUGAUUAAGUAUCUCAUUUAGUAGUUAAGAAUUCAACUUAUUUAGUUUUGGAUUUGUUUAGGGGUUUAGUACAUGAAUGUGUUCAUCUCACCACGUCACUCGUUUUGAUGCCCUUGAAUAUAAUUAGAUUUCCAACAGACCCAAAGGGGUAUCAAUUUAAUGGUUUAAUUUCUAGUUUUUUUACUGUGUGUUUUGAGGAAGAAAAGUUUUUAGUUUCAUUAUAGAAUGACCAAAAAUUUCUCACUAUGCCUCGCAAGACACAACUAGAAUGACCCGGGCCGGUGUUAUGAAUGAAGUAUAUCCGUAUUCAAAGCUUUUGUUUGGAAUGCAAAGAGUUUUUUUGUUUUUUUUCUUUUUUUUCUUUUUUUUUUAUAAAAAAGGCAAAGAGUUUGGCAUUCGGCUGAUUACGGAGCUAGGCAUUGCAAGCGCAAACAAUCACAUUAUAGCCUGACCCUACCUACUCGACGAAUACCUUUUGUAUUAUUCACAGAAAGAUUUAAUACUUCCAAAAUUGUAUCAUUAUUUGUUUUGCUAAUGCACAAUUUGUGUUUCACAUAAGUUAUUACUCAAGAAAUGAAAACUAACAGUAUUUCUUUCAUUCAUUUAGUAAUAUUCAUUCUAUUCUCAGUAUCAUAUUCCUUUUUCUCUUGUACUUUUUACUAGGAAAAAAAAGGAGAUCUUUUCCUUUCGUAAUAACAAUUCAAUUCUCAUUUCUCAACCCGAGAAAUUCAUUCAUUGUUUACAGGAGUGAAGAGAAAAAAAAAAAAUGGUGGCGACAGACAGAACAUAAGGUGCGAUAAGGUUAGUUGUGUUGUCUAAUUAAUGAUUACCAGAUGGGUAGGUCGUUUAAACAUUCACAAAAGUAUUAAUAUAGAUAUAAUAAUAUAUAUUUUGACUAAUCGAACCCAAAAAGAAGAAGAUGAUUUGACAGGUAAUUAACAAGGAAGAUGAACUCAUCAAAGAGUGGUCAAACAUAGCACGUGAGUAUGAUGCGCCAAAUUCAAUCGGUACAUUGAUAGAUCAGAACCAUAGAAAGUAAACGAUUAGAUCAAACAAAUUUAGCGAUUUCUCUUUCUCAAGAAUCAAAUUGUCUUUUGAUUAACAUUUUCGUCCUCGAUUUUUUUGUUUUUUGUUUUGGUUUGAGAGAGAAGUACAAUUCGGAGAGUCGUAGCCUUGAAGAGCUGAAUUCUUCUCUACAAAAAAAAAAAGAAGCCAGUCUCAGUGUCUUCAAGGGUUAACACUUGGUAACUCUCCAAGGGCUUUCUUGAUGUCAUUCUGUUUUUUGCAGAAAAAAAAACAUGAAAUGAACUAGCCAACCGCUAAGACAGGUAACGAGAUAAAUAUAAAAAAGAGUGAGUGAGUAGUUAGUAAGACAGACAGACCUCGAUGGAGAGAGGUGGAACUGUUGGGCCAUAACGAUCAAUGACUUGACCAUCUUUCCCGACCAAGAACUUAGUGAAGUUCCAUUUGAUCCUCGUUCCCAGGAAAGUGGGCUUCUUUGACUUGAGGAAUUUGUAGACUGGUGCUGCGUUUUGCCCAUUUACACGGACCUAAAACAAUCAUCGAUAGAGCGUGCAGAAGAAGUUUACAAGAGAUACAUAUCAAUGAAUAAGUGGAGUACUCAUGUGAAGCAAGAGUGUUGAAUCCAAGAGCAUCUUGAAUUCUUUCUUGAUGUCAGUAGUCAAAUAAAACAACAAGAAGAUUUCUGUGAGGCAUCUUGGAUGGUUGAAAAAAAGAAGAGAGUUAUAUAGAACCUUUUGGAAAACCGGGUAUUCGGCCUUAAACCUAGUACAAGCAAAAGCAUGAGCAUCUUGGCUUGUUCCAGGCUCUUGGUACAUAAACUGGUUGCAAGGAAACGCCAAGAUCACAAACCCUGAAACAUUUAGCCAAAUUUUGAGCAUUUCAAUCCCCAACAAACAUUAGAUACGUUUACAUAGAUAAAGCACUAGAGACUCUCAUAAACAGACAGUGAGAGAGACCUUGAUCUCUGUAUUUCCGGUAAAGUUCUGUGAGCUGUGUGUAAUUGGUUUCCGUGAAACCGCUGUUCCAAAAAAAAAAAGAAAAGAAAAAAAUAUAACAAAAGAGAAAUUGAAAGGGAAUAAUAUAUCGAGAAAGAAAAGAAAGAGGACCAUUUAGAAGCGACGUUGACGACGAGGAGAACCUUCCCUUGAUAAACGCUAAGGUCAACGUCCUUGCCGGAGCUAUCCUAAUUUCCGGCGAAGAAAUAAAAAUAUUGAGAAAAAGAAGAGACGCUUCAUCUAACUCGGUCGGUCUUAGAAAAGAAAGAAAUUAGGAAUCAGAACCUUGACGGUGAAUUGGUGGAUGGAUUUCUCGGAGACGGAUAUCGAAGCACCCAUCUGGCCGGAGCUCUCGCCAGUUUUGUCCUCUUCUGUCGUCUUAUCCUUUCUUCACACCCGCACAAUCCGUCAGCUUCUGGUAAAGAGUUUUAGUUUCAGGAGAAACAAAUAAAAAUUGAAUUUUUUUUUUUUUUUUUUCCAAUUUGACUAAUAAAUAUAAAAAACAUUUGAGCUUUUUGUCCCAUCCUCGAUUAGGAUACAGUUUCACACACGGCCAGCCUGGGUAAUGCGUGCGUAACAAACCCAAUCCGUCAACACAUUUAUUUGUGACUUUGCUGUGACCAAUUUCCUAUAUAAAACAAAAAAAAAAAAUCAAAUCAAGGGCGUGUGCUGUCUUCAAUUUAGAACUGAUUUAAUUUGGCACAUUACGUUACGUUAGUAUAUAAAAAAUAUUACCAUUAAAAACAAGUUGUGAGGGGGUAAAACGAAAUUAAAUGCCUAAAUGAGCAGGGUGCUAAGCUAGCUCCUUUUCUCAAAUCUCUCUCUACAAAAUGACUUUACCUUCUUCUUCUCACAUAUUGUUUUUUUUUUUUUUUUCUUUUUCUUUUUUAUGCAUUCAUCUCAUAUAUGUACACACUUACAGAGUGCCUUUCUUUCUAUCUUGUAAAUAAAUAGCCCCUCCCUCCCUCCCUCCUCCCUAAACAAAGCCUUGGAUUAUAUAACAUCUCUCUCUCUCUCUCUCUCUCAAGUGGCCAAGCAUAUUUGAGCCAAACAACACCUAACGUUCUUUGUUUCUCCCUAAUUCUUCCAUACAACUAGCCCAAUGUCUCUUUUAUAUUACACACGUCGUUCCGCCUUCUGUCCAUCUGCAACUCAUCUCUGAUGCCAAGUGCCCGGAUCUGCAUAUCCACGAAUAAAAUGAUACUCAAGUUUAUAUUUUAUAGAAUCAUAUCGACCCAUAAAGGGGGAAGCUGCAGUAAAAUGAUUUAGUUUAUUACUUGAGGACAACCACAACGAUUUCAAAUGUCAGGAGGACUAAGAUGAUAUCCCCGUGAAAUGAAAGUGGCUCAUCCAACUAAUAAGGAUCAGGUUUCCUACCUAAACCUAGGACACAAUUCCAGCAUAAGAAUGUUACGUACGACCCACUAACUAAGAGGGCUGUUUCAGUUUGUGGGAGAGUAAAGAAUGUCUUUUUAUUCUUCUCCCCUUUCCAGUGAGUCAACAAGCAUGAAUAUCCAUAUUACCUCUCAUUGCUACUGGAACAGGACCUUCCGAAUGCGGCUUAUAGUGAUAAGACUGUCUAUUAUUAUAUGCACGCGGAGAAUGACUCCACCUCUGGUUCUGAAACCUUCCAGAGUCACGGUGAUGGCCACUGUGUGAGCUGGAUUGAUAAAAGCCUUUGUGUCUGUCAUGAUAUCGUGGACCUGCCAUACGGAAAAGCAUCCACAGCUAUUAGCAUGCAUGGCCAAGUGCCUAUAUUCGUUCAUAUAUGCCUAUGCAUGCAUAAAUAAUUAAAAAAAAAAAAGGUUAAAGGCGCCCCCCACCAUGAGAAGAGGGCGUAUGAUAUCUCCAAUUGUCUUGAUUCUCACAUGGUGCAGGCCUCGUUCUCUCACGGCUAUCAUAAUAAUUCCUUUCUUCAAAAUCCGGCGUGUAAUAGGAUCUGUGAGGGUAUGAUGGACCUUCUCUCCGCGGCUUUAUAUGGUGGUCCGGCUCCAUAUAUGAAUAGUGAUGUGAAGGCGGAGGUUGGGGAUGAGGAGAUGGAUAAGGCCUAUGCUGGAAGUUACAGCCCUCCCCGCCGCGUGGCAUGCUUUUUGACAAAGAUGCACGGGAACUAUAAGAUGAUUCAGGACUUCGGUAUUGCAUAGGUGGAUUCAUCCUUGGAAGACCGGUCUGUUGAUCUCCCUGGCAAAUUGACCAGAUAUGAAGUUAGUAAUCAUGUCUCAAUCAUCACUAUGUUCAACCGAAACGAAUCUUAAAAGAAGAAAAAGGACGCACAUGCAUGCUGGGAUAUCCUCUGCAAUCAAAGCCAUUUGAGUAAGAGUCAGACAUGGCACACUGAGCAUUCUGUGAAGGGGGAGCUGGUGGAGAUGACGUGCCAGAGACAGACUGACAAUUUGCAGACUCUUUAUUACCAGCUUGAUCAGUGAUUGCACUGCUUCCAACUUCACAAGGUGGAGCCACGUCUUCCAUUUCAAGCUCGCCGUCAACAUCUUCCAGAAUACGGGUAUGCCUUUCAGUAAUGGAGGGUGUGACAUGUUCUUCAAGGAUUCUAGACUCAUGUUCAGGGGUGACAGACUCAAAAUCACCCCCAUCCGAGUCACUUCCUUCGUCUUCAACCUUAAGCAUUGCAGGCAUGCAGAAUCCAUGAAGCUGGAGAGUUGAAUUACUGAUACACAAAGAUGAAGUAAGUUAUGACACUAGAGAUAAAGGAAUCAAGAUCCCAAGACUGAAUAGACCCAACUCUCACCUUCCAUAUUCAUCCACCAGCAUACCCUCCAUAUCUCUAACAGGGUCAUCCAGCGCCCUUUCUGUUCGAGCCGAGCGCCGAGAAUAGAGACAAGCAGGAGCAUUACUAUGUGAGUCAAGUUCUUUAAUAUGGUGACGAACAACAGAUUCAGGAAGUAUCCGUCUUUCGAGCCAAAGCCUCAAAACCUAUAUAAAAGCAGUAAGGGUGAGAAUUAAUAUUUAUAAAGAAAAGAAGAGCUAAGUAAAAUUAUCACAUACCUUCAAGCACUGUCUCCGGUUUUCUUGUGUGAUAGCUCCAGCUGGGACCGCAGCAGCCAAUAGGCGAGGCAGCAUAACUUGAAUAGAUGAAAGAUAAACCCCACCAGUAUCACCUGAAGAGAAAGACAAUAUUCACAAAGUUAACUCGUCAUUGAGAACCUCGAUGAUGCGACUAAGCUAUAACAUUACAUAUGUAACUCACCACUCAGACCUUUGGAGCACUGAGCAAUAGAAUCCACAAGGAAAAAUAAGUCCACCCUCCUUUGUAAAUUAGACUCGCUUUCCAAAGUAUGAGCCAGAAUUUCCAUCGCCUAAUUUAAGACAUAGAGAUUCUUAACAAUAUAGGCCAAAAAUCUACACAUAUAAUGUGUUUUAUAAAAAAAAAAAACCCACAGUUGAAACAAGCCCCUUUCCUCAUGGAAGAGGUAGAUAAGAAUAUAAGGCUUUCUAGUCCUAUGCUUGUCAAGAGUGGCUGGAUGCCUACAGCAUCCUAAUAGCAGCACACAAAACAAUAUACAUAAGGGCUUUUUAUAACUUGUAGUAAUACAUAAAAUUAGUUUGAUUGACAUGGUCUCUGUUUAAUUGAAGGAAUUAACUAUUUGGAGAAUGUAGAUAGUGUUUUACCAUAGGACAGAUCCAGUUAUUAUGAACUUAUCAAUCUCGAAGAAGAAAUUUGUGUCCAAAAAGCAGAAAAAGUUGGAUUUCACCUUUACAUAACAUAUGGCAUCAACAAAACAGAUAAUGUCAAAAGGAGGACGAACGUCUCGUACCUUUGCCGACAUACCAAAUUUCACCAAGUCCAUAGCCAAACGAGUUGCACGGCCAAUGGUCUCCUUUGUCCUCACCAACGAGCCAAGUGCGGUCUCAAAAGAUUCAAUAGUGAAUUGCACAUCAGAACUAACAACUUUCUUCACCUGAGGUAUACCUGUUUCAACUUUCCUUUCUUCUAUGACAGUGUCAUCACUCAUAGUUUUUUUCUCACCAAACUGAAUAUUGGCGCUGCAAUUAUUGUUGUUCUGCAUAACAUUUGCACUUUCUACAGUAGACAUAUGGCAAACUGAGUUGCUAUGUGAAGUACCCCUUGCAGGAGAGUCAGGAGAUAAACUCAUUAUUUCACGUGAAAGGUUUUCAGACACUGAGACAGAUUUAGUCGCUUGGAUCUGCUCUUUCUGCUCAUCCGCCUCACAGCUGCCAAUGCACACAGACAUACCAUAUUGUUAGUCAACGAGUUCUGUGAACUGGAAAAAAAUUUAUGUAGAUAAUGUCUGAAGAGACUUAAAAUGAUAUAUUACUAAAAAUCAAUAUGCCUAUCCUCUACAUAGACUUUCAACAUAAGAGCAAAUUUACAUAGGAACUGGGAAUCUUCAAUCAGAAAGGAACAUAAAAACUACACAGUAAAAUUUAGGGAAAUGGGAUAGUAUGUCAAAAUCAAAAUAGAUAGAUUCCUAUUCAUGACCUACAUCAAUCUGAAUAUGAAUACUCCAUACAAAUAUUCCACUGUGUUUAGAAACUGAACACCUAAUUGUAAUUUCAAGAUCAGUAGACUCACCUCUUUUCCAGCUCCAAAACAUCUUCACAGUACACUGUUUCAUACCGAGGUUCCGUCUCUUGAACGAUCAUAUCACGCUCAGUAGCAGAGAGGGCCGGAUCCUGUUUUAUAUGGGCUUGUUUGUCACUAUCAACUUCUUUACCCAGACUUCCUUGUUGUUUUUUCAGUAGAGUGUUUUCAGUCUCCUGCAUGUUUUCAGCCUCCUGAUUAUUCACCACCGAACAGAACAACGGAGAAUGUUCUAUAGCUUGGGACUGAACGAUCUGAGUCAUAUUAUCAUUUUUCUCACAUUUUUCUUUCAGGGAAGAAUCUCCAGCAACGACCAAUGAACAGUCACAAGAAUCAUUGUCCUCGUUUUGGUGUUGGUGAGGAGAUUGAGCAGGUACCCUUGAUGCUGUCAUAUCCAAAUCCGAACAUAAACUCGGGGGAUUAUUUGCAGAUGAAUCCACAUUAUCAGGAUUCAAAGGGGUUCCGUAUUUCUCACAUUGACGUGAGCAUUGCAUGUCAAUAAGAUCGGACUCACUAUUUACACAGUUCAUGGUUUGCGAUUCCUCCGAACAACCCUGAACUACUUCAGAAACACGAGUGUUCCCUUCUGGCGAACUGUUAAGUUGAUUCGAUUGUGCUCGACAUACUUCAUCAUCUGGCGUCAUGCUAAAUUCGUUCUCAUGAAGCUCCUUAGCAGUCUGAUCUGAGGCCCUAGACGGAGACAUUUUGCCAGAAGGUUUCUCCAUAUGAGAAGGCAAUACAUCAACCAUAUCAACUGGGAGCUUAGUAGACAACUCAAUGCUGUUAAAUUCUAUAGCCGGAGAAGUAUCAUGACCAGAUACAAUAUCAUUUUUUUGAUUAACCGAAGGGCUUGUCAGCAUGGCAUCCGUUGUUAGAGUGUCUUUCGAUAAUCUUUCUUCAAACUGUGAAGAGGCAUUGACCUCUUCAUCAGCAUAAAAAGCUCUACUCAUUCGAACUCUGGCUCGCUUUACCAGAGGCAAGUGUUCAUCACCAUUCUCUUCACAUGGCCUCUCAUUCAGCGUUUCAUGAGAAUUUUGAGAUCCCUGGGAGCUAUCACACGCCUUGGAUCCAGAACCUUCUUCUGCUUCAACUUUAGCAGGAGGGUCUAUAAGGUCACUGGUCUCGCGUUUUCUGGUAGGCUUCCUCUUCUUCCUCUUAACCAUGGUACUAAUUUGGAAAUCAAGCCCUUUGUUGAGCUCAUGACCUCCUUCAAAGUCCUCACCAACCGCAUCAGAAUGCUGGAGUCUGGAACCAGAAUCCACACCAAUGCCUUCAUGCCUACUAUUAUUGUCAGAUUCAACUGUAGCAAUUUCAGAUGCGUUUUCCUCAUCAGAUCCGUGCAAAUUUAGAGCUGAUGAAACCACAUCAUCUGAUUCAGAAUGACCGGACCUAUGGAUCCUCUUUCUCCUUCUUGUAGUUCCAUCAUCUAUAUCAUUGACACUGUGGCCCCCAUCGCUGCAUCGAAGCAUGGACCUUGGAAGCUUAUCCAAUUCCAACCUUGAUGAGAUUUUAGAUUGCUGAACUAUCUUCUGUGGAGCACACUUUUGAGACUGUACCCUUCCAUUUCUUCUCUUUGACGAAUAUGUAGCUAUCUCACAUAGAUCUUUAGCUGCUGCACUAUCACAGGGUCCAUUACGAGCUAGACUGUUAUGACGCAGAGCUAGCAUUUGUUCAGCAGCUGAAGCAUCCUCGCUGAGAAAAGUCGAUUCAUCUCUACCAUGACAAGAAUUUGACUCUAUUCGAAUGUCAAUUAGAUUUUCAGAGGCCUGAGGCUCUAUAGUAUUCCCAGAACUUCCAACAGUUGUUUCUUCAGCAGAUUUAGGAUCAUUAGCUUCGUUCUGCUGCUUCAGCUUUUCGUAACUCUCUGUGAUCUCUUUAAUUGCACGAACAAAAUCUGAACCUUUCGCAUGCCGUUUUGUCAAAAGCGAUUGCUUCUUCUCUUCAGUAAACGAUUCAACAUCAGCAGGAUUGCAGAAAGCUCUGCACUUACACCAAAAAGUAUUACUAACUGGAUACGAGGGGAUAAACGAUAUUAAACUGAUCUACAGGGAAGAGCAGAAAGUGAAAACAGUUUUCAACCUUAAACUGAUUCACGUAAUCAAUUAAAAUUGAUAAGUGGGCAGCUGUGCUAAAAUGCUCUCUUCAUAACAAUCAUACAUCAGAAUUCUCAUAACCGCGGGAAUGAAUGAUGCAACAAAAGAAAAUUCAAUGAUGUUGAUGCUAAUCUGCAAAGUAUAUGAUUAAACAGUUUUCAGAGAAUUUAACAUAAAAAAGCCAAACAAGAAGCACUGUUGCCAACUAUCCUGAAUGAAGAAACGCCAAUCAAUUAACAUUAACUCAAGUAGACCUAGAAUUCCGCACAAGGAUGAUUCUAAUUCUAAACCAAGUAAAAUUAUAGCGUAGAGAGGAAAUACAUCACAUCAAGUAUAUCCUGCCUCAACAAGAAGUUAAAAUUUUAUGGCCAUAAAGAAGCUACUAGCUUCUGCGUCCUAAUCUAGCAAGACAAGAACCAAAUUCAUGUCCUCGAAUGAGAAUCAUGAUAAAAAUGAAUUAAUCUAACGGGGACGUAAUUUUAAUGACCUCGCAACGGAUAAUGUUGGAAUUCACAGAAUAAGGGAAGUAUGACAAGAUAGCAAAACAAUAUGUAUACGAAGGUAAUAGUAAAGGCAUGAGAACUCACAUCUGUUGUGUACCAAAAAAGUGAACCAACACUUUCUUCCAAUCGGCUGAGUAGCCCCACUUUUCUGGUUCGCUAACCUGAAAUUGCUCCAGAAAUCAGAAGACGGGCAAGAGAUCCCAAAAGAAAAAAAAAAGACUCAAACAGAACUGGAAAGUAGAAAACCAGACAUCACUCGCAAUUACUAUCACUAGAUCACAACUUCAGAAGAUGUAUAGCCUACAAACUUGCUGAAUGAAAAUCUACCAUGUAAUCUGUUGCAAGCUAGAUGACAUGUAUCCCUCUGGAAAGUAUCCAUAUCCCUUAGGCAGUCGAUAAUUGACAUAAACAUCAAACUAAAAAUGAUCUUCCAUCUUAACUAUACGGAGAAAAAGGGUGAGAUACACAGACAUGCAACUUCACACCAUAAUAAUAUAACGCUAUCUACCGCCAUCAGGAACAAAAAUCAUGAAACUUGGGAGCAAUCCUUUUCUUGCAGAGCCAAACAUAAACACAAUAAGCAACCAAUAAAUGCAAUAAAGAGAAAAGGAAGGCAGAGAUGCACGUACGGCGGCAGGCCAAGCAGGAUGUCCUUUGACUUUGGCAAGCACGAGAUCGCCGACCUUCCACUGUCGCCGGGCGGAUGCUGCGGCCGCAGCCUUACCACCGCCUUUCUUGCGGCUCGGAGCCAUCAGGAAAAGCGAAAAGGAUGAUGAGGAUUCUAACUCUCCAAGUUAAGCCAGAACCGCAGGCGAAAAUUAGCAGCUUGGCAGUGCCUAGGGUAUUCGGUGACAGAUUCCGCUAAAGAGCUUGCAGGCAUUGAAAAAUCCCAACCCAAUCGACGGAAGCACGCGAGCAAGAAGCUAGAGAAGUAAACCCUAAUCGAAACGAGGGAGAGAUAGAGAGAAGAAACGAUCGAUUGUUGUGGAUUGAUUCGCUACUGUGGAAGAAGGAGAAGAAGAAGAAGAAGAUUCACCCACGAAACCAUAAGGGAGAAAGAUGCUGAUUGAUAGGAGGAGCCUUUGUAAAUUGUUAAUGGUUCGGUCGGUGUAGGGUUUGCAAUGUUUCAAGGACUUGUAUAACGUGCGCCAUACAUGCGUAGGUUAACGUUUUUUUCACAAAAGCUUUUUUCUGGUGCAAAAAUUAUUUUAAAAAAAAAAAAAAAAUCGAAAAUAUGCUUGUGAGUACAGAAAACAAAACCACGUGAUCCAACUACUCCUUUAAGCCCAUUUGACUCGAAACGGAAUGUCUUGAGCUUCCUAAGCCCCACUCACAGCCCAUAUUUGUCUGUUUUGUAACAAGUAUUUUUUAACACAUUUCAGUAUUUCACACAUACUAAAAAAAUUUUAAGUAUGUGUGAAUUCCAAAAAGAAUUUCUGACAUUCUUUUUUUUUUUCAAAAAGAAUGUCGUUUUAGAAUUUCAAUAUAAUUUUUAACAUAAAAUACCAUUUUUAACCUCAAUAAAUUCAGAAAAUUAAUUAUAAAUAUAAUUUCAAAAGUUAUUUUCUGCAAAUUAAUAAGAAUAUAAAAAACAUUUUAUCUUAUUUCUUAAUUUGUGUGAAGAAUGUCAGAAUGACAUUCUUUGUGAAACGGAGGGAGUAAUAAUUUUCUAUUUCUAAUUAAUACACUAAAACAUCAAAAUUAAAACUGAAUACUUUUAAUAAAAA